rnacentral:misc_RNA from 1 species
ACUGCAGUUCGUGAGGUCUCUUUUUCUCAGCAUAACUAGUUCUCUUUGCUGAACAAAUAAUUUUGUUCUUAAGAAAACUGAAAGGCAAACCAAACAAUGACAAACAAAAAGAAAGAUUCUGUCUACACAGGGAGCCUAACUCAUCUUGGAAGAGGAGAUUGGGCCAUUUAAGUGGAUCUAAAAGUUUAGUAUGGUUUCUAACAUAUGAUAUUUAGAUGGCUUUGACAGGUUGAAGAG